AGUUGCCUACGGGGCGCAGCGGUGGGGAAUAUUGGGCAAUGGGCGCAAGCCUGACCCAGCAACGCCGCGUGAAGGAAGAAGGCUUUCGGGUUGUAAACUUCUUUUAAGAGGGAAGAGAAGAAGACGGUACCUCUUGAAUAAGCCACGGCUAACUACGUGCCAGCAGCCGCGGUAAUACGUAGGGGGCAAGCGUUAUCCGGAUUUACUGGGUGUAAAGGGAGCGCAGGCGGCGUGGCAAGUCAGAUGUGAAAACCCGGGGCCCAACCCCGGGAGUGCAUUUGAAACUGCCAUGCUGGAGUGCCGGG
rnacentral:rRNA from 1 species